AUGCCCAAGAAGAACGCGGCCUCAUACACCACCAUGAUCGGGGGCCUGUCCCAUGCCAGGGCAAUCACCACGGCGCGUCUCUUCGACCAGCUACCACUGGAUGGGCAUAAUGUGUUCACCUGGACGGCCAUGCUGUCGUGCCAUGUCCACAAUGGUGAGCCCGAUAGAGCUGUUGAGCUUUUUGCAGUCCUCUACGGUGAGCUCUUUGCGCGCAAGGUUCUGCCCAACGCCCACUUCUUCAGCUCGUUGCUCAACGCCUGUGUUGCCCUCGGGUCGCUGUCCAUGGCGGCACAGCUCCAUUCGCUCAUCGUCAAGCUCUUGGACCAAGGGAGCAAAGAUUGCAUCUUUGCUUGGAAUGCGUUGAUCGAUGUGCAUGCAAAACUGGGUGCACUGUCUGACGCCGAGAAGGUCUUCCAUGGGAUGCGGUACAAGGACAUCUCUUCAUGGAACACCAUGAUGAGUGGAUACUCAUGGCAUAAGCUCGACAGCAAGGCUCUUGAGCUCUCCACAUCUAUGAGUAACAAGGAUUCAUUCUCAUGGAACAUCAUAAUGUCCUGCUUGUUGGAGAACCGCCGUGGAGAAGACGCACUCCGCAUCUCCGUCCAUUUGGUGGGACUGGAAGGCAAUGUCAAGCCAUGCGUUUCCACAUACACAACUGCUCUGCAGGUCUGCUCGGUGCUGGCGUUGCUUGUUUUGGGGAGGCAAGUCCAUGCACGCACGGUGAAGAACAGUCUUUGUCGCAGCAGCAGUGCCUUCCUCUGCAAUUCUCUGAUCAGCAUGUACAGCAGCUGUGGCAUGACACGGGAUCUGCAGCAGGUGUUUGAUGAAACAAGAGUAAGAGACACCGGAUCAUGGAACUCAGUGAUACAGGGGCUUGGCUAGAAUGGUCUAGGCAAGCAAGCACUCGUGGCCGCAGAGCGUGCUCUUGAGCUGAAAAUUUACACUGGCAACAUCUUCAUCGCCAUACUGACAUCAUGCAGCCGUGCUGGAUUGGUCCCCGAGGGCCUAGGUUAUUUCAACUCCAUGACUGAAAAGUAUGGAGUGGAGCGGACACUUGACCACUACAUCAGUGUCAUCGAUCUCCUCGGUCGCACAGGGAGGCUGGAAGAGGCGCAUGCCCUGCUUCAGAACAUGCUGCUCCCGCCAAAUGUGUUGGCGUGGUCUACCCUUUUGCAUUCUUGUUUGGCUCAUAAGGACAGCUCGGUGGGGAGCAUCGCGGCGCAGCAACUGAAAGCUCUGCAACCCGAUGGUAGUGGAAAUUAUGAGAGGUUGGUGCUCGGUUGCGGGGAAGGAAGCGAGAUUAAUGCAGCACCGUCAGGGGACGUGAAGAGUGCUGUUCACAUGCCUGGAUGCAGCUGGGUCACCUGA
rnacentral:rRNA from 1 species